rnacentral:rRNA from 1 species
GACGAACGCUGGCGGCGUGCUUAACACAUGCAAGUCGAACGGAAAGGCCCUGCUUUUGUGGGUUGCUCGAGUGGCGAACGGGUGAGUAACACGUGAGUAACCUGCCCUUGACUUUGGGAUAACUUCAGGAAACUGGGGCUAAUACCGGAUAGGAGCUCCUGCUGCAUGGUGGGGGUUGGAAAGUUUCGGCGGUUGGGGAUGGACUCGCGGCUUAUCAGCUUGUUGGUGGGGUAGUGGCUUACCAAGGCUUUGACGGGUAGCCGGCCUGGGAGGGUGACCGGCCACAUUGGGGCUGAGGUUCGGCCCAGACUCCUACGGGAGGCAACAGUGGGGAAUAUUGCACAAUGGGCGGAAGCCUGAUGCAGAAACGCCGCGUGCGGGAUGACGGCCUUCGGGUUGUAAACCGCUUUCGCCUGUGACGACGCGUGAGUGACGCUAAUGGGUAAAGAAGCACCGGCGAACUACGU